AUUGAACGCUGGCGGCAGGCCUAACACAUGCAAGUCGAACGAGUGGCGGACGGGUGAGUAAUGUAUGGGAAACUGCCUGAUGGAGGGGGAUAACUACUGGAAACGGUAGCUAAUACCGCAUACCAUCGGAUGUGCCCAGAUGGGAUUAGCUAGUAGGUGGGGUAAAGGCUCACCUAGGCGACGAUCCCUAGCUGGUCUGAGAGGAUGACCAGCCACACUGGAACUGAGACACGGUCCAGACUCCUACGGGAGGCAGCAGUGGGGAAUAUGGACCAGUGGGCUAAGGCUGGAUGCACCCAUCCGGCUGUUAUGAAGAAGCCCUUCGGGUUGUAAAGUACUUCAAGCGGGGAGGCGUUACCCGCAGAAGAAGCACCGGCUAACCCCGUGCCAGCGGCCGCGUAAUAC
rnacentral:rRNA from 1 species